rnacentral:misc_RNA from 1 species
AAGACUAUAGACCUGCGGAGUACCUGCGGAGGGAUCAUUACAGAGUUACUACUCCAAACCCAUUGUGAACCUUACCUAUGUUCUGUUGCCUCGGCGGCGCGGUCAGCGCCCCUCUGAAAAGAGGACGAUGCCCUCCCGCCGGCAGCACCAAACUCUUGAAUUUUACAGCGGAUUACAGUUCUGAUUUAAAAACAAAAAAAACAAGUUAAAACUUUCAACAAUGGAUCUCUAGAUCGGAAG